rnacentral:rRNA from 1 species
CCUACGGGAGGCAGCAGUGGGGAAUAUUGGACAAUGGGCGAAAGCCUGAUCCAGCCAUGCCGCGUGUGUGAAGAAGGCCUUCGGGUUGUAAAGCACUUUCAGUGGGGAAGAAAGCCUUGGGGCUAAUACCCUCGAGGAAGGACAUCACCCACAGAAGAAGCACCGGCUAACUCCGUGCCAGCAGCCGCGGUAAUACGGAGGGUGCGAGCGUUAAUCGGAAUUACUGGGCGUAAAGCGCGCGUAGGCGGUCUGAUAAGCCGGUUGUGAAAGCCCCGGGCUCAACCUGGGAACGGCAUCCGGAACUGUCAGGCUAGAGUGCAGGAGAGGAAGGUAGAAUUCCCGGUGUAGCGGUGAAAUGCGUAGAGAUCGGGAGGAAUACCAGUGGCGAAGGCGGCCUUCUGGACUGACACUGACGCUGAGGUGCGAAAGCGUGGGUAGCAAACAGGAUUACAUACCCUAGUAGUC